rnacentral:rRNA from 1 species
GAUGAACGCUGGCGGCGUGCCUAAUACAUGCAAGUCGAGCGAACAGACGAGGAGCUUGCUCCUCUGACGUUAGCGGCGGACGGGUGAGUAACACGUGGAUAACCUACCUAUAAGACUGGGAUAACUUCGGGAAACCGGAGCUAAUACCGGAUAAUAUAUUGAACGGCAUGGUUCAAUAGUGAAAGACGGUUUUGCUGUCACUUAUAGAUGGAUCCGCGCGGCAUUAGCUAGUUGGUAAGGUAACGGCUUACCAAGGCAACGAUGCGUAGCCGACCUGAGAGGGUGAUCGGCCACACUGGAACUGAGACACGGUCCAGACUCCUACGGGAGGCAGCAGUAGGGAAUCUUCCGCAAUGGGCGAAAGCCUGACGGAGCAACGCCGCGUGAGUGAUGAAGGUCUUCGGAUCGUAAAACUCUGUUAUUAGGGAAGAACAAAUGUGUAAGUAACAAUGCACGUCUUGACGGUACCUAAUCAGAAAGCCACGGCUAACUACGUG